AUCGCCAGACCCGGGGGGGAAGCGCCAGGGGCCGGGGAGGCCGCGGGGGAGCCCCAGGGCCGGGCGGGGGGAGCGGGCGCUGGCCCUGCGCCGUCUCUGGCGACCUUGUUUACCGGGCAGGGGCUGGGCAAUGUCACCGGCGGCGCCGCCUUGACAGGAUCCAAGGUCGCUGCGUUCCUCCCGCUCCUAUUGGCUGCGCGGGGGGGGGAUCCGGCCUUCCAGAGAGAACCAAUGUGCGCCGGCGGGCCCGGGGCCGUGGGGAGCGGGACUGGGCUCUCCGCCCGCUGCCCGGGUGCGGAGGGCGGGCGCUGCCGGCCCGGAGGGGUACGCGGGUGUCUUGCCGAUUAACUGAAGGGGAAACUGUCUCUGUGCACUAACUGGAGGGGAUGGUAGUGCUGGAAUUACCCAAAGUCUAGGGUCGGCGCAGAGAAUACGUGAAGGUGCGCAAGGGGAGCAAAAUGAGAGCCAAGCCACAGGGUUCAGGGUGCUUGGCACGCAGGUCGUCACCGCGACCUGGAUUAAUCGUGACCGGAUACCUGGAGACAUCUGCUUGGAUUGUUCACGAGUCCCAAAUCGCCAUGUGACCCUUAUUUACGCUCUAGAGCUGACCUAAGAGGUGGCUGACGGAACUUCUCUCUCUUGGGCACCUCAUCUUCCAGGGUCACAGCGGGUUCCAGAAGAGUGGAACGGAUGAAGUCUGGAUUCCUGUCCAUCUGUUCCCCAAGUGCUGUCCAUCACAACCCACUCUCCUUGAUGUUCCUUGUGUCCUUCCUGCUGCCCGAGACACAAUGUGCUGUACUUAGAUCAGCGCUGUGUUCCUGGCUAGCCAGAACCCGUGACUGCUAGCCAUGUUACCGAUGCCUAAUAGAAGGUGUUUUGUCUGAUUUUGCCCUACCUUUUGCUCCAAAUGGACACCAGCUGAAGGGUUUUCUGCCUAAUCCACCUUCUGACAAGCACUGGAGACAGAAUAUGCUGUGCUGGGGUGGCUGCCCUCCCUUGACCAGCCAGAAUAUGUGUGAUGACAACUGACGGGAUUGCUGCUCUCUAGUAGAAUGAGUCUUGUCUGAGUUUCCCCUGCCUGUUCCUCAAUGUGGACCAAAAGUUGAAUCUAUCCUCCCUAAACCAUUUGCCAGUUUGCACAAAGUUUGUAGGAAGUUGAUUAUCCCAGUUUGGUUGAUAUGGUUAGGAGGGAUGGUUUGGCAAACGGAUGAACAGGCAACAUUACUGACUUUUUUUCCCUUAGGAAACCGCCCUAGCAUUUUCUACUAGGGACAAAGGCAACUUCUGAUUCAGCUUUUAUAAGAAAGGGUAAAUGAUGACCCAGAAGGAGCAGUAAGUCAGGGUGGAAAUUAAUGGUAGAACUGGAAAGUUUUAAAUGUAAGCAGAAGGAAGAGUCUGAUGACUGAAGGGCAUGAGCUGUGUGCACAGCACUUCAUGACAUUUCCAGCAGUAGUUUGAGCAAAGUGUUCACCCUCUGCCUGCAGACGAGUCUGCAUUUAUGUAAUUGGAUUGAUACUUCAAUCUACUAACACGUUUAUUUUCUAUUUAUGUGGCCCUUUGCAUGGAAAAAAAAAAAACAACAACAGAAAUAGCAUUACGAACAAGGGUCAUAUCUUCCUGUUCUCAUCUUUCUAUCACUCGAUGCUGCAGCCGCAGGAGCUGUCAAGCUGCCGAGGGCUCCCGGCGCGGCCAAAAUAGCCAAAGUAGGUGAAAGGUUGUGGAGCAGUACACAAACAGGCUGGCGUGACCCAUUGCCGGUUCAGUAAGGGAAAGGUCCUGCAGCUGCUCCAGCACUUGCGCAAUCUCCCAGCCUGCUCAUAGUUUGCAAAAGUCAAGAGUACAGUAGCUGGAUCGUUUUACUGCUGGAGCUGUGUGUGGCAGCUGCCUUGGAGCUGUAAACACUGGGAUGUGCAUGGCAACCCAGCAGCCCUAAAUGGGAGACACCUUUUUUCCUCUUUCCCUGCCUUUGUUAUCCAUGUCUGAAAUGGUAUAUUAACUGUUUUAAAAUCAGGGAAAAGGAGAAUAGGUCACUGAUUCCAAAACUGCUUUUCCAAAAAAUAGCAAGAGGCUUGCAUGAGAUUAACCGUCGGUGUUUCAAAGUGGGAGUGUAGAAAUAGCAGAGAGGGAAAGAAGUAUUUUGGGAGGAUAGCUGUACCCUUAAGGAAAAAAGCUUGAAUUCAAACUGUGAUAAAAUAUCACUUAACAGUAUUUGUCUUGAAAAUAUUGUCAUUAGACGAUGUUGGAUUCAGGAGGCUGCUUACUAUGUAAGAGAAUAGUAAUCUUCAGCCAAGAACCACAUUGCGGAGGAAAUAGAGGUGAACUCCCAGUGUGGGCUGGUGCUGAUCUAAAGUCUAUGGACAACAAAAUGUCUGGCUACCAGAGCAGUUCUUGUGGAAGAGCAUGCGCCAUCCUCUAUGAGAGCUGCUGACACAGAGAGAAGAGUGGGAAAAAAAAAUAUAGAAAAAAAAGAGGUAAGGUGUCAUCAGGACAGCCACCAUUUUGGGCUACGGCUGCUUUUACUGUGAACUGCUUCUACUGGGAGAACGUAUGAAAAGUCAGAAACAAGUGAGUCCUACCACGAAAAUACAACGUGCAUGGCCUAGAUAUGUUUCAGCAGAAUCUGAAAAUAGUUACAGUUUUCUAUAGAGUUAUGGGAAGGGAAUUAGUGGAACAUGAUGAAUCAUUCCAAAAGUUUUGGAUUAGACAUCUUAAGAAACACCUCACCCUGCAAAGAAAGAGCUCUGGCUUCACCCGUAACCCUUACAGGAGCCACAGGCUUUGAGCUGGUACACACUCUGCUUUUCUUUCUCAGUGUGGACCACUACGGCUGAAGACAAGUGGUUUUUGCUAUUGUUUGCACUUGACACUAUUGACUGUAACAGAACAAUUGGUAAAGUGGAGGUGGUAACAUGAGUUUCUGCUCAGAACGAUUACCUUGAACCACUACUCCAGGUUAUUAUUUUGUCUGAUGCUGAUCCUAGAAAGCACUUAGCACUGUUUCCCCAGUUGUUCCCUCUCAGCCUUUCUUUCAUCAGAUGUGGCAGAAUUUAUUUUCUUUUAGUGUCUGACAUAGGAACUUGAAUGAGAAAUUUACCCAAGGAAAUACUAAGAUGAGGCAAGAGACAUCACCUGGAAGAGGACUUGCUGGGGUAUUAUCUGGGCACCCUUUCAAAAGAGAUGCAGAGUUUAUAGUAUUAGUAUUACUGGAAUGGCACUUCCUCCCAGUGUUUCAGGUUACCCAGGGGAAGUUUGUUUCCCAUUUGCAACAUUGUGACUAUUAUUACUGAAGCAUGAACUCACAGAUAUUAAUAAGUUGAUCUCAUAAAGACUGGUUUUCCAUAAUAUCCUUUGCAGAAGAUAUCCUUAUAGUAAGCCUGUGGGAGUUUUCUUAUUUGAUGAACGGUAUAACCACAGGCUAAGCUGUAAUAGCUGCAGUUAAAUGUGAAAAUGUGUAUUAAAGUAGUCCUGAUAAAGAACCAGUACAAUAAAAAAUGUCAAAGUGCAUAAUUAAAACGGUUUGCUACUGGGUCUGAAUAAGUACAACAAUAUUUUUGUGUCAUAUGACUAACAGGUGUCUAAUUAUGGGUAAAUCAUCAAUGCAACAUUGCUGGAACAUUAAGACCAGCCUGAACACAAGAAAAUCUUUAUUAGCUGAGCAACCAUUUUAACCUCAUUAUAUACUAGACUCUAGCAAAAUACACAGUUUCACUACGCAUUAUUAAUAUGCUUGGAUUUUUAAACUCUAAUUAUUUUAAAUCUUUUUUUUGCUUUAUCCAUGUUGGCACUUUCAAAUUACUUCUUUGAUAUAGUGCUCAUCUAAUAGUCACUGAACUGAAAAAUAAAAUGAUCAGAGCUAUGCUGGUACUUGGUUUCCAAGAUUUCAAUCUGCCUAAAGUGACAUAAAAAUCCCACACUACUUUAAUCUCACUUCAUUUCACUCAUUUAAAUGACACCAAUAUUCUAAAUGAAUUGUGGUGGUUAUGUUGAUACGCAAACAUUCGCAACCAUACAUGUUAUUUAGUUUCUACUUGGGAAAAGACCCCUAGACAUUAAAAAAUACUGAAUGAAGAAAGUAGAAUUUAAGCUGACAUAUUUACCUGUUUUUUUUAAAGUUCAAAAUGUGUACAAAUACAGAUCUUGAUUCCCUGCUAUCUGGGACAUAAUACCAGGGUACAAAUAAUCAACAAUAUGUUUGCAGGCAUUGGUUUCACAAAGCCACCUUUGAAAGAAAAUAUUUGAACAUACAGUAGGAUACAGUCUGUGAAAUGGAAAUGAAAAAUAUCUUUAUCUCCUGUGAGACUAAUUGAAUUAUAAACUUAAAGGGAAAGGAUAGCUUUUCACUGCACAAAAUUAGAUUUGCUGAAAUGUGUAAGAUCUCCAAUUAUACCUGAUAUGAAAUGUUGUCAUUUCUUCUUACACAGUCACACAGCUACUGUUUAAGUGUGAAUUGUCAGGUCUUCCAUGUCAUGGCUAGUAAUUUUUAAUACAUAUAUAAGUGGGGUUGAAUAUUUGGGGAUCUCUUUAUUCUGGGAAAGAAAUACAAGCUUACUCUCUGCUUCAUUCAGUAUUGGAGAGAUGUUUUGAAAUUUUCAUAUUCAGAUCAAGCAAUAAAUCUACUAUAAACCACUAGAAGAUACUCUAGCCAAGAGAAAACUUGGUAACCACCACAAGAGACCUUGCUAGUGUUCUGUGAGUGCUGGGAGCGAGGGCACUGCCUUCCCCCAGGGUACCUGCUGGAGCACCUGCUUUCCAUCUGCUUUCCAUUCCACUCCUGUUACUUAUUUGCAGCCUCCUAUAUCCUGGAGCUGAAGACACAGGGAUGAGAAAGUUAUCAAAAAAGCAACCUGGAAUUCAGAAAUGCACAUGUAGUUCCAGCAAGAACAGGAUAACAAAGUAAGUAAGGUAUUUAAACUGAUAUUCCAUGGGUGGAGCCACACUGAAGUGAACAAGGAUACCUGUAUUUAUUUCUGUGAGUAUUUUAGGCUGUCUCAGAGCACGUACAUCAAGUGAUCUAUACGCUAAUCUCCUCUUGUAUAUGGAAACACAGAGUCUUCAAAUUAUAGGCAUUUUCUUUAAAAAGUAGAAUCCUUCUGGAUUCAAAUCAGUGCCAAGAAUCCUACUCGGGAUGUGAUUUUUACUGAAAAUGACCUUCUUUAAAGCCUUGGGAAAAAAAAAUGAGAUUUUGCAAAAGUGAGCUAAUAAAGAUACUUAUAUCACAUUUCCCCUUAAUACAUUAUAUUCAAACCUCCAUUACACUUUUGACUCUUCUUGUGAAAUACAGCAAAUGGACAUGGUGUCUGCCCUUUCCAUGAGAAAGACUCAAAGGAGUGGUGGAUUGCAUUUUGAAAAGCAGUCUGUAAUAUUGUGUGAGCAGUUUUGACUGCUUAAAAAAGGCUGUUUGACCCUGCAGCUCUGAGAGACUUCAGUCGGAGUUGUGGACCCCUAUCACCUUGAAAAAUUAUAUGCUAAGUCUGACCAACAUCCUGAAUUCAACUGUACUUCUGAAAAUGUGGGAUGAAUUUCCACCCUAAGUCACUCAAACAGACAAAUUACAGCAUUUUGACUCCCAGAAUUUUCUCUUUCAAAUAAAAAGGGUGAGUGUCCCCUGCUUAACCAUUCCUGGAGAAAUCUAUCUAAAAUUGUACUUUUGAAACAUCCAGAUAAUUCUAGUCCUUUACAGUCAGUUCAUGUUUCAAAUCUUGUGCCAAAUGCUUGAAUGCCUUGUAGUAGAGAAGACCCAAAGGGAACACAUAAAAUUAUAUAGGAAAGGCACCAAUUCACUCUUGCUGAGCAGUAAUUUGGUUUGGUUUAGUAACCUGUGAAGUGGUUCACUAAAAUGAUGAACUUUAAGGAAACCAUAAAGAGUGUGAUUAUUGAUAUCUGCUGUAGGUGACCUUUAUGUGCUGAAAAGAUCAUGAGGUAGUAAAGACAAAAAAAUUACAACCUCUUUUUCUUCUUGCCUCUAAUGGUCUGAAAUUGAAAAAUUAGACCUAUUGAACCCCAGUUAAAAGUUAGGACAGCCAAAUAAAACAAGGCUACAACCUGCAACUUGCAGUUUUCCAAGUAUGUUAUUUAUAUACCUUAGACACUAAGUGCUCCUGCUUGAGGGAGUCGUGACUCACCACCCUCAUCUGAACAAAAAUUGCUUGAUCCAUUCACUACCUCUUCCAUUAACUUCCCCUCUAUGGUAAAGAAACAUAUUUCAACAUUUCAAAAAAAAAAAAAAAAAAAAAAGAUAAAAGCACAAAUGCAGAUCAUCCAAAGCUUUUUCUCCUGAUUUUUGUCAGUGCUGUGAUAAGGACUGUGUGCCUUGCUGUCUUCCCUAUUUCUGGGUAUCCUUCUGGCUGCUCUUUGUUCCUUGUAUUAAAGUAAUCUAAAGUCCUGCCAGCAUUGUCAAAUUCAUACUGGUAUUGAUCAGCCUGCAGGAUUUGGUUAAAGCUUUGGCAUCGUAUUUCUUGACAUUACAUCAAUAUGUAGCAGGUAACAUUUCAAAUGUAUUAGCUAUGCAGGUGACCUUUUAAAUCUCCUUGGGAGAAUCUUUCACACUUGUACAGAGUCAGCGUGCCAAUUACCAGAGAUUUUGAAGGUGGCAUUUUAAGUGUCACUCAUCAUCUUGAUAAAGGACCAAAAAUGCAGUAGCAUGCCAUCAGGUAUGUCCCAUGACACAGACAGUGCCUGGGCGUGCUACAUGCUGGGAAAUGCUGAAGUGGGCCCAGGCCAGAGCCAGAAAAGCAUUGCCUUCCUUGAUGUAAACAGUUUCUAACAAUUGCCCCAUAAUCACAUCAGCUGAAUAAUUUUUCCACAGUUCUCUUUCCCAGUUCUAGUAGAAGUGUAUGGACUGUCUGAUCCCAGCUGCUGCAUGUAUUUGCUACAUAGCCUUGGUUUGCCCUAAGAGGAAGUUUUAUGCUUGCAGAAUAGAUUUAUUCUGCAUUAUGACUGGGAAACGGAGCUGUCAUGAAAGAUGUUCAACCCAGACUUUCAGUGCUUUUUGAAGUAUUUGGGGAUGUGACAGCUGUGUGUCUGAAAAUAGGUUUAAGGAGAAGUUGUUUACAGGAAGGGACAGGCUUGGUGUGCUCACUAUCAGCUGCAUUGCUGAAGAACUUUCUGUAAUGUUCUGUACUUGUCAGAGUUCAGAUAAUGACUGACUACAUUAUGAACAAGUAAAGUGGACGGUUUUCAGCAGGAUGGUAUGAAAUCUUGCCAGCUGCAAAUAGUAUGAAGAAUUAUGCAUAGAUAUUGUGAUAUGAGAUAACAAAGGGGAUCACUGGGACAUCACUGAAAUGAUGGGUUAACUUCUCAGUGAGAGGGAAUUUGUGUAAGUGUUAUUUCCACUUCCCGGAUAGUGUGUGAAUGACUGUGAAUGAAAUCCUAAUCCAAAGGCCACUGUAUUCAGUUAAAUGUUUCGAGUCAUCUCAGCUGUAGUCUUCAGUGGGAACUAGAUCAAAACUCUGUAAGACAGGAAAGUGCAAAAUGCCCAGUGACAGGAAAAAGUCAUAGAAUCGUAGAAUCAUUUUGGUUGGAAGAGACCCUCAAGAUCGUUGAGUCCAACCAUUAACUUAACUCUGGCACUAAAGCAGAGUCCCUAAGAACCUCAUCUACCCGUCAUUUAAACACCUCCAGGGACAGUGACUCCACCACUUCCCUGGGCAGCCUGACAAACCUUCCAUGAAUAAUUUUUUCCUAAUAUUCAAUCUAAACCUCCCCAGUGCAACUUGAGGCAAUUUCCUCUUGUCUUGUUGUUUGUUAUUUGGGAGAAGAGACCAACACCCUCCAUGCUACAACCUCCUUUCAGGUGGUUGUAGACAGUGAUAAGGUCUCCCCUCAGCCUCCUUUUCUCCAGGCUAAACAGCCCCAGUUCCCUCAGCUGCUCCUCGUCAGACUUGUGCUCCACACCCUUGAGCAGCUUUGUUGCCCUUCUCUGCAAUCUUUCCAGCACCUCAAUGUCUUUAUAUUGUAGUGAGAGGCCCAAAACUGAACACAGGAUUUGAGGUUCAGCCUUACCAGUGCCGAGUACAGGGAGACAAUCACUUCACCAGUCCUGCUGGCCACACUAUUUCUGAUACAAGCCAGGAUGCUGUUGGCCUUUAUAGCCAAUAGCCAGUUUUAUGCUGUAUAUUAUAAAAUUUUCCAUCAUUUUUAAUAUCCAGGAAAGUAUUUUGGAGACUGAUUUGCCUCUUGUUCAUCUUCCUACAUUACAUAUAGAUUAAUUCAAUGAAUUAAAAAUUGUUUUCUAUGACUGUCUGACUUGAGGAAGACAGUGACCAAGGCCACCUUUACAGCAAGGGAAAAUAAAACUGGCAUUCAUAUUCUUGUUUUGAAAUCCUUUCUGUGCAUACUUUGUUGUUUCUGGCUAAAAUAAGCAAAACUUUGGUUUUCAAAAUGAUGUGAGGAUGUUGUGUCUGUCAUUGGUCAUGGAUUGUCAGAUCCACAUUUUCUUAGCAAGGCACACAAGCCUCCUGCAUUGUUCAAAAACAUCUUUGCUUUUCUUACUCCCUCAGACGUGGGACAGAUGCUCUUGCUAUCAGCAUGAACAAUGUUUUGUUUUCCAUGGCUCAGUGAUGUAUCGAUGUUUAGAAAACUCCCUAGACAUUUUACAGGUGUAACUCUGUUGCCUGCAUUACCUUAAAUUCUGAAACUAGGUACUCAUCAGGGAAUCACAUACAGGCCACCUCAAUCCAGACAGUAAGACUUGGUGAAACAUGGGCAAAAGUCCUUAUGACCCUCCAAUGAAUUGCAUAAAUUAUGUGGCCUAUAGUAACAGCAUCUAGCUCUAAGCUAAACAAAAUUCUUCAAAAGUUUCUCACACUCCACUCUGUUCUUUUGAGGGUGAUACUGCCAAAAAACACCCCACACCAUUUUGAGGUUGAUUUUUGCUCUAGGCCUGUAUCAAACUGACUGUCUUAAUGGGAAUGUACACUCCUGAAAAUCAAUCCAUGGAGUGGGCUGUUUCAAGGAAGGCUCUGAUGAUAGUGAAGAGUCUUCUGGUAGGGUAACCUUCUGUGAAAGAAUCCUGGUCCUAUAGCCCUGAAAUCAUGCUGACUGGUGGAGGGUGGCAGGAUAAUUGCAAAGUGCAUCAUUUGCACUUUUCAUGUCAGGCAUCUUCCUCCAAAACACACUUUUCUCUCCACAUCUGUGGCCUGUUGUAUAAUUUUUCGGAGCCAGCAGCCCAUAAUCCAAAUUUAAUUCAUGAAGUGGAGCAUCUCAUGAAGCAGCAGGGCAUCUCAUGAUGCUUCCAGGCAUAAAGUUAGCACUGACACCUGUUGUGUGUUCCCAGGGUAUUGCCUAGGAUUUUGGGUUUAGUGUUUCAUUAAAUCACAACUUGUAGUUCAGAGGUGGAAGGGAGGGGAGGAACUUUCAUGUCAAGGACUGACUGACAUAAAAGUAAUUUUACUACUCACAUUGCUGAGAGCAUCAAAUAUAGUUUGUUCCCUAAUGUUAAAGGGCAAGUAGAGAAUUUUGACUCUUAGCACUGAAUUAAUCAGCUCCAUCAGAGCUUGCUGCUGCAGGAAAUCUUCUGGAGAGGUUUUCUGCUUAUUUUACUUAACUUUUACUAAUUGCUUCAGUGCAUACUUUCCAUCUUACUUUUUCCUUUCAUAAUGACCAUCCAGUUCAUUAUUACAGAGAAACUUCUACAAAUAUUAUUAGAAAGAAGGUUCUAACCUGCUCUGAAGAUGGUGGAAUUGUCUCUGAAAUUAACAGGUCCAUGAAACAAGCUCUCUGUUAAACCCAUAUUGACAGUGUAUGAAUUGUGCAUUAACUUUUGCCUUAAUUUCUGAAAGCAAACAGGGGAUUGAAAGGGCUGUGGUUUGGAGAGAAGGAAGGGAGAAUGCAGGAGGCGGGGGGGGGGAAACAAUAGCAAAAGGGAAAUAAUUGAGAAGAAGAAAGAAAAUAGAAGAAGUGGAGAUAGAUUCCUGGAUGCGUUCUUCCUUGCAUCUUUUGUUUUUGUUUAAGCUCCCUUAUACUUUUACCUUAUUCCACCUUUUUCUUUUCUCUGUUGUCCUUAACUAUCAGUGAUCUCUUGUUCUCUUGGUACAAUCAUUUUGUAAAUUAAAGAAUUCAGGUCCAGAUAGUGAGGCCUUUUUGAAUGCUAUGAAUCCUAAAUUCAAAUCUUUCUAAAUUUCUAGACCCUAAGAAAUAUUUGAUUUGUUUUCUUUUUGUUUCAAUUGCUAGAAAAGAUGCAGGGUUUUGUUUUGCUUUUAUGAAAGGGUAAAAUAACAAUUUUUUACUUUUGUUCAUUUUCCUCUCUACUUGCAAAAACAUCUCUAAAACAUCAGGGAACCAUAUUUUAAAACACUUUUUUGUAAAGUUUGUUUCACUUUAUUCCACAAAGAAUACUUGGUUGUCUCGCAGUGAAGUAUAUUUUUAUGGUCCUCCCUUGACUGUAUUUUUAGAACAAAAAAUAUCUGGGUGAAAGGUUGCUUGCAUAGGUGCUGCUGGGGUGAGUAAUAAUGUGACCUCCAGGCUGAGGCAGUGCUGCCACCUUUGUUCAUUCCCUCUCCAACAAUUCCAGACCUUUUCUGAACGGUGAAAAUUUCCCGUCACCUAGUAGAGUAGUAUUACAGUCAGGGAAGCAAUUCUGCUUUGGAAGCAAAAGAAAAGCCUCCACAUGCAAACUGUUUGUCCAACUAGCAGCACAGAGGAGCUAAUUUACCAGCCAGACGUUUCCAAGAACCACUAGUCUUUCAUACCCACAACUACCAGCCUGUUUGAUCAUGACUUUCCUAGAAAGGUUUACGUUCCUCUCUGAAUGUUUUAGCCCUUUCUUUCCCCCCCCAACAUUAUAUAUUUUAUUGAAUACUAGUAAUUUUCAUUUUACGUCACUUCUGCAAAACCCCUAAGCCAGUCAACUCCCAACCAGCAAAUGCAGUGAACCAACCCAAAAAGCUCUCCAUCCUUUAAGUACUGCUUGUGGUUGGAUUUCUGGUGGUGAUAUUAUUCUGAUUGACAGGGAAACAAACUCUUUCUGACGUGGAAGGCUUUAUGAUUAAGCUUUUGUAGAGGAAAAGCAAGAUGACUGGCUAGACGUGACAUAUCUCCAGAAAUCAUGUUAGGUUUGAACUCCCUGGCUAAAUAUUAGAUUUCUGAUAAUUUUUACAAAACAAAUUGGUAGGAUGCUUUAUAUGAAUAUCAUAUCUUCUAACAUAAUAGGCAGCACCCAGAAGAAUAAUGCCAAAAUCAAAACUAUAAAAUUUGAGUUCCUAUGGGUUAUGAGCAACCUUUGAUGUAACAAUGUGGUUUCUUCAGGUUCUGGUCUGCUAAUAGGUAAAGAUGUACCACUGUCAAUUUUGUGAGCAAGACGAUUUUUGAGGAUAUCAUUUUCUGUAAAUAUGAAACUCACAUAAAUGCUUUUCUUUCACAGAAUGGUGGUGACAACUGACCCUAGUUCUGCAAGGAGCUUCAGUGGAAUUGUGCACUCGAGGCACAUUGUGGGUAGGACAAUGAACAAGGUAUCAUAGUAUUAUCUGAUUUCCAAGCAAACAGGCUAAGAGCAUUUGAACCAAGUCUAGACAUAAUUAGAAUCUGGAUUACAUCUGCUGCACAAUGUAAAAACAAAGCUACUAGCUCACAUAAAUGGAAACUAUUUAGUUUAAGAAAGGUAUGAAAGAGGUAUAAACAUAGAUCAGACAAAUUAAUUUUUGUCAGAAGCAUGGCAGUUGCGGGUGUUGAUUCUUUAGAAACAGCGUAUUUAUGAAAAGUAGGCAACAAUACAACUUUAUGCCAUUCCUAUUUUACUGUGGAAGGCAGUAUUUAAACAUAACUUUGCAGCUGAACAUAAUCAAAUAAGAAGUAUUAUUUACCAUUCCAUGAACCUCUCCCCCUUCUUAUGUCUGACUUUGUUGAAGGCACAUUGUUUUUGUCAUUGACAAAGUGUCAGCAUUUCUAUAACAUAUGAAUCUUUCCCACCAUGGAAAGAAGUAGUUCCUGAUUCAUCUGCGUUUGUCUGAGAGCUUGGCAUGCCUACAUGUGACCAAGUAUCUACGUGCAGCAUGAUUUGUGUUUUGACUUUGAGCAGAGAUGGUAAGGGAAAAUAUGAUAUAAGUGUACAGAAAUAGAUUAGGCUUUAGGAUUCAAAACAAGUCAUUGUCAGAUCUAAUUUAGGCCUCUGGUUAAGCUAUACAUAUUUUCUCUUUUAACACAGACAAAUUCUGUAAUAUUUUGAGGGAAAAUGCAGCAGAGUUGAAAAUGAGAACUUCCAUAGGGAUUCAAGAUUAUCCUUCUGAAAUUAUUCUAUACAUUCAGGUUUUCCACGUAAAAUUUUCAAAGCUGUGCCAGUUUUCACUAACUGGAAGUCUGUCACUUUGCUUAAAUGAAUACCAGCUAAGAAAUUAAUAGGGGAUAAUAUUGACACUAAAUUUCUGUGUGUGCUCCUUGGGCAAAAAUGGAAAGAAAUGUUUUUAGAACUGACAAAUGCCUUUUAUAUGCCUAAGUUUCUGGAAGUGCAGCUCAAAGCAUCUUAAAUGAACAACAGAUCCCUCUUUCAGAAAGCUGACUUCCAGACUUAAACUGAGCAACCAGACACUACUGUAUCCCAACCUUUAUCAUUAUGCAAAUAUCUGCUAGGGAAGCUGCUGCAAAACAUAAAGGCUUGUUCUUCCUGGCACAGAAACUUUCUGCCAAGUGCUUUUAACAAGAUUUUAAUCCUGAAUUGUGGAAAAUCUUGGUGUGCACUGUGCAAACAUUAUUUAUGUAGCUGUUAGAAGAAAUGUAUGUUGUAGGCAUUCUUGGUAAAUAAUCAGAGAGAAAACAUGGAAUUUAGCAAACUCCAUAAAUUAAUUGUAUUAUAAUAAAUGAAAAAGAAGGAGAAUUUUGUAAAAACAGUGUUAUUUUGUCUUUAAAGCAAAACUUUUUGAAACGGACAGUAAACACUUUUACAAUGCAUGAAUUCUGGCUACAUUCUUCAAGACAUCCCAGCCCAGCAGAUUUCUCUGGCAGUGCAGGAUGUCAUGACAGUCAAUGCAGUCUAGGUUAGAUAUGUCUGUGUGGAACUCUCUGAGCUCAAGGCUAUUGCUUGCUGAGAUCCUGAAAUACUUUAUUCUUACAAUGCUGAUCCUUUAUUUUGCCUGGUUGCUUUUAGUCAUACUUAAUACUCCUAUUUGCAGAUUUUAUUUUUAUUUGUUUUCAAUUUUUACAGUUGAUAAUUUGAGUGUCUUUUGCUGUUCACUAAAGGAUAUUUUUUUAAGUUUCUUUGAAUCAUAAUUGCAGAUUUCUGAGCAGAAAUAAUGCAUUUUUAAGAAAAGCUUUGAGGCUGCUUUAACAAUCCCUUGUUUUUGCUUUUUACACUCCUGCACUGUGUCACCAGAUAUACAAAAAAACCCCCUGUCAUGGCAUUAUAUAUAUGACCAACAGGUGGUCUUACAGGGUGUGGAAAGUCUGUAAUUAUUUUGGAGGUGACUUUAUUGCAAAUUCUAGAAAAAGAAUAUUUCUUUUUUUCUGAACAUUUUUCCCAUUGUUUCCCUUAUUGGUUGCAGGCCAGCUCACGUUUCUGAUGGUGGCAGUGACAGCUUAAAAUGAAACAGAAAUCUUAGCUCCAGCACACAUAACACUAAAAACAUAGUAGAAAGGGUCCAAUCCCACGUCCCAAGUCCAGUCCCCACGCACAAAGAGAUGACCCUCAGGUAACCUGGCAAAAGGAACCUGGGGUACUUCUGUGGAUCCUGCACAAAGGACUGCCAAACCCAUGGAAGUCAGUUGAUGUCAACAGAAUAAAACAUGUUGCAUAGUGGGUUCAAUAUACAGCACAAAUUUAGAUAGCAAUAUCUGCAAAAUAAUAAUGAUAACAAUGCAGUAGGACAUAAACAAGCCACAAGGUUCCUGAAAUACAUUGAUGGUAACUCCCUCCUCUAAGUGACAGAGGAGCCAACAAAGAGAGGUGCUCUGCUGGGCCCCAUGCUCCCCAACAAGGAAGGGCUUGUGGGGAUGUGAAGAUCAAAGGCAGCCUUGGCUACAGUGACCAUGAGAUGGUGGAGUUCAGGAUCCUGAGGACAGGGAGGCAGAUGAAACACAAGCUCGUGACCCUGGGCUUCAGGAGAGCAGACUCUGGCCUCUUCAAAGGCCCGCUUGAAAGAGUCCUGUGGGAUAAGUCCCUAGAAGUAAGCAGGAGGGCAAGAAAGCUGAUUAAUGAUCAAGGAUUACCUCCUGAAGGCUCAAGAGAGUUCCAUCCCAAUGAGUAAAAAGUCAGGCAAAAAUUCCAGGAGGGUCAUGGGGAUAAAAAAGGAGCUCCUGGCCAAACUCAAACACAAAAAUGAAGCAUACAGAAGGUGGAAGAAAAGAUUCGUAACCUGGAAGGAAUACAGAAAUGUUGUCUGAGCACCUAGGGAUGAAGCUAAAGCCCAAAUGGAGCUGAAUCUGGCCAGGGAUGCCGAAGACAAGAAGAAGGGCUUCUGUAAGUACACAGGUGACAAGAGGACGACUAGGGAAAGUGUAAGCCCGCUGCUCAAUGAGAAGUGGGACCUGGUUGCACAGGACAUGGAAAAGGCUGAGGUACUGAAUGCUUUCUUUGCUUCCUUCUUUAGUAGCAAGACCAGCCUUUAAGAGUCCCAGGUCCCAGAGACCAGCAGGAAAGGCUGGAGCAAAGAAGAUGUACCUUUGGUGGAAGAAGAUCAGCCCUUUGUACUGAUGGAAGAUCAAGCACCAAUCAAUGUCAAGAGCCUUAAUGAAAAUUCUUAUAUGUAAUGAGAAGCGUGAAUACAUAGGAGGAAAAAGAAUACUGAAUAGCUGUAUUUUACUAGCAGUGUAUCAAAUACAUCAAAACGCCAAUAUUUGAAGGAACUCAAAAUACAGAGGUGAGUAAAAAAACAAAAAUAGUGGUUUUGUAAUAAGUAAUUUAGGGCUGUUUUUCUUAUCUCCUUCAUUAGACAUAAAACUGUGCUUAAAAUAGAAUUUAAAUGGGAAAAAAAUGAAAAAUGAAUGGUGGCUGUUCCAAUCACUCUGGUAUAUCAUGCAUACGCUCUACCGUGGAAUAUACCCGUACCCUCUCAUCCACAUGUCAUAUUUUCCUGAGAAGUAUGGUGAUCAAUGAUACAAUGUGUAGUGAAACGAUUUCUCCCAUAAGAAUUAAAGGGAUGUGUUUAUGGGCUAAAGAAGUAUUCAUAAUGUAAGUAUGCAGGGACGGAAUCCAUGGUUUCCAUGAUGGAGAGCAGGUUCGUCAGGUCAGGUCAGGUCAGGUCAGGUCAGGUCAGGUCAGAGCAGGUGUUGCAGAGCAGCUCACUCUUCUGAAAGAUCCCAGCCACUGCACCUGGGCACUGGACAUCCAAGCGCUUCCCAUUGCCUGACUUGAUUGAUCCUGACUUAUCUGAAGAAGAUGGUGAUGACAAAAAUGUACUAUUCAGACAGAGGUACCAAAAGCACUUACAUUGGACAUCUCUCUAUGGGGAGAGAUCACACAACAUGAGAGAGGCUGCAGUUUUGGGUAGCAGUACACAGAACUGGUAUCAACAACGUGAUCUGUUUAUGAGGUUCCCAAAUGCAGACCUCCUUUUGGCUAUGUGAAUGGCACAGCUCAGUAACCACUUUGUACCUUUGUAUCUUGAAGGAUGGUGGUCAUCUGAAAUAAAUGCUGAAGCAUGGCAGUGGUAUGUAAUGAAAAAGCUUCUCCUUCAACAUGACACCUAGAUGGUGAUGCUAUCUAUCUGGUAUGAAGUUUUUCACAAUCCAUGUUAUAUGUGCUCUGAGCAAGGAGGAUUUUGGUACUAACUUCAGUGUAAUCAGCACUGUCUCCUUACACACAGACACAGGCCCUGGGCUGUUCACUGCAGGGUUGCAUGCUCACUUGUCCCAUGGAGCUCACUCAUACUUUUUGCACAGUCUGUUUCACAGGCUACCUAUAUGCCAGAGGUUUUGAGACAGUUAUAGAAUACUUGUCAAAUGUGAAAGAAACCCAUACAAAUCAAAAUAUAUACUACAAAAGAAUAGAACUAUUUCAGCAUACAUUGAAAUUAAUUGAAAUUAAUUUUCUUUUUUAUAGACAGAGAAACAUUCUUCAGGUAUACAGGGAAGAUAUAAUAAAGCCUUUAAUAAAAAGUAGAACAUUAGCUAUCUUUCUUUAGGACAGUCAUAAAAAGAAGUACAUAUAUAGGAUAAAAAAGUGGAAAGCAGAGUAUCUAUCUGGUAAUGCCCCCUAAAUAUGUUUAUAUUUAUCUUUAUAUUUACUGGAGAUCGUUGUAUGUAUAUUGUCUAGACACACAUACAGAAUUACUUUUGUUUUCAUCAUAGUCAUGUUGAGAAACCCAUGCUGAGGUGAGGAUAGAUUUAUCUUCCUGAUGUGGAGCAUGACACAUAGUUAAUGGUUCCUUUUGCACAGUUUGACAUUUUUUCACAGAUAUUUACUUUUCUAUUAACUCUGUAUCUCCUUUAUAAUAAUACCACGGGGUUUUUUUUUUAGGGGAUGGGGGAAAAGUAGUAUGGCUUUACAAAUUCAUCUACUCUAAUUAGUGGUAACAAACAUAGAACUCCAUCAUAAUAAUAUAGUUAUAAUGUAAAAUCAGCAGUGACCUUCUAGAUUUUAUAUGAUUUUUUUAAUUUUUUUUUUUCACCUGUGUAACUCUGGAACAGAAUUUCUGGGUUGUGUAAUAGUUUGGGGAACAAUCACAGCACCUUUGUAAACUUUUUACUUCUAAGCUGUUUACAAUGCUUUCAACAUAAGUCCAUGUUCCAUAACUUUGCCUUGGUAUAGUCAUAUUAAUAGGACAUUAAUAAAAGCUGCCACUGGUGAGUAGGUCUUUACAUCUGUACUGUACUGCAAAGACUGACAGUUAAUUUUCAAAAACUAAUUCCUGCUAAUGAGUUACUACUCCUGGAUGCUUUUGGAGAUGCAUUAACAAUAUGUGCCAGACCUGCCAGCUGCGCUGCUAGGAGGUUGUGAGAUCCAGGAAGCACACACGGCCUGCAGGCAGCUGACAGGCAAUUACGUAAAAGCAGGUAUUAUAGAAAACACCGCACAACAGGUGCAUCCUAAGGAAGAAGAGACAACACUAGCUGCUGACGUAGAACUGGUAAGGGUUGCUGAGACAUGAACUGGUGGCAUGUCAUGGCUGCCCAAUGAAAUGCACAAUCCCAAGGCUGCAGUAAAACGUCUUCCUUGCUGUUAGCUACAAACAACUACGCAGGAGCAGGCUGUGAGAACUGAAGUGGCUAAAAGCCAAUCUCUCACAAGGUGCAUUUACAUGAUAUUUUGCAACGGAUGGGUAGAGUUGAUGUAUAGCUCAUCUGACUAAAAGAUGUCAUCCACAUUUAGGCUACGUGCAUCUCCCAAAGCUGAGGCCUGUGUUCAGUCAUGCAGCACAUAUCUUGCUGCUCUGCUCAUGCAUGGGGAAGCUCAGAGGCACGGAAGGCUGCAGGUGGAGCUGUGCAGUGCUCCAGCAGCCCUGAGCUGCUGCAAGGCGUCUGCAAGGCAGCCAGUGACCCUCUGCCCCAUGUGCCAUAGCUCUCCCCCCUCAAAAAAGUCUUGGAAGCCCAUGCUCCUCCCUGACAUAUGGGAUCCCCGUGUAACACAAGGUCCGGGAAAUGCCAGCGCCGCUGCAGGAAUGGAAGGCAGCAGCACUGUUAGAAACAAGCAGAUCUCCAGCCUCCUCUGCAUUCCCACCACUCAGCCAAAUCCCUGCCUUUUGCCAGUCACACCAGUGGCAAGAAGAAACACCUUAUC